GCCAAUGUAGAGGAUGCAUGGAGCUGGACACAUCCACAUCAUUUCCAUUCCAUCUGACUGCCCUCAUGAAUGUCUCAAAUAGGAGUUUGUUACCCCUCCUGACUUCUUUGUGAAAUCGUGACGAGGUGUAUCACACUGGCUCCGAGCUCCAACCUCCAAUUCGUUGGAAUACACACUGUACGUACGGAC